GUAGCUUGUAUCGACCCGAGCUGUGCCGAAGCUAACGCGAUAAGUAUCCCGCCUGGGGAGUACGCACGCAAGUGUGAAACUCAAAGGAAUUGACGGGGGCCCGCACAAGCGGUGGAGUAUGUGGUUUAAUUCGAUGCAACGCGAAGAACCUUACCAGGGCUUGACAUGUCGCGAAUCUAGCGGAAGCGUUAGAGUGCCUUAGGGAAUGCGAACACAGGUGGUGCAUGGCUGUCGUCAGCUCGUGCCGUGAGAUGUUGGGUUAAGUCCCGCAACGAGCGCAACCCUCGUCCUUAGUUGCCAAUAUUAAGUUAGGCACUCUAGGGAGACUGCCGGGGACAACUCGGAGGAAGGUGGGGAUGUCGUCAAGUCAGCAUGCCCCUUACGUCCUGGGCGACACACGUACUACAAUGGUUGGGACAAAGGGCAGCAAACUCGCGAGAGUAAGCGAAUCUCAUCAAACCCAGCCACAGUUCAGAUUGCAGGCUGCAACUCGCCUGCAUGAAGUAGGAAUCGCUAGUAAUCGCAGGUCAGCAUACUGCGGUGAAUUCGUUCCCGGGCCUUGUACACACCGCCCGUCACACCAUGGAAGCUGGCUACGCCCGAAGUCGUUACCCUAACCCGGUUUUGGGAGGGGGAUGCCGAAGGUAGAGCUAGUGACUGGGGUGAAGUCGUAACAAGGUAGCCGUACCGGAAGGUGUGGCUGGAUCACCUCCUUUACAGGGAGACCUAGUCUAAUUACCAAUAGAUAAAAAAGUUGGUAAUUCGCAAGAAUCCUUAGGUUGUGAGGGGAGCAAGAAAAAACUUUCAAACUGUAAUGGGUGAGGGUCAGUGGGCUAUUAGCUCAGGUGGUUAGAGCGCACCCCUGAUAAGGGUGAGGUCCCUGGUUCAAGUCCAGGAUGGCCCACCUAAAAUACACAGGCAUCCUGCCUGUGCCACAAAAAAAGGAAAAAGUUUUGGCAUUGUCUCUUGUAAUCAAGAGCAAGAGAUAAUGCUGGAAUAGAUUCCAGCAA
rnacentral:misc_RNA from 1 species